GGUUGCGAUCAUACCAGCAAUAAUGC
rnacentral:rRNA from 12 species